UACAGGGGGGGGCAAGCGUUGUUCGGAAUUACUGGGCGUAAAGGGCCAGUAGGCGGCCAACUAAGUCCGACGUGAAAUCCCCAGGCUUAACCUGGGAACUGCGUCGGAUACUGGAUGGCUUGAAUUCGGGAGAGGGAUGCGGAAUUCCAGGUGUAGCGGUGAAAUGCGUAGAUAUCUGGAGGAACACCGAUGGCGAAGGCAGGUCUCUGGGCAUUAACUGACGCUGAGGAGCGAAAGCAUGGGGAGCGAACAGGG
rnacentral:rRNA from 1 species